rnacentral:rRNA from 1 species
AAGGAAUAUUGCUCAAUGGGAGAAAUCCUGAAGCAGCAACGCCGCGUGGAGGAUGAAGGGUCUAUGACUUGUAAACUCCUGUGAAGAAAGAAAAAAUUCCCAUUAGAUGGGAGAUGAUGGUACUUCUGGAGUAAGCCCCGGCUAACUACGUGCCAGCAGCCGCGGUAAUACGUAGGGGGCAAGCGUUGUCCGGAUUUACUGGGUGUAAAGGGUGCUCAGGCGGAUUUGUAAGUCAGAGGUGAAAUCUUACAGCUUAACUGUGAAACUGCCUUUGAUACUGCAAGCCUAGAGUAUGGAAGAGAGAGAUGGAAUAUCUGGUGUAGCAGUGAAAUGCGUAGAUAUCAGAUAGAACACCAAUGGCGAAGGCAGUCACUUGGUCCAUUACUGACGCUAAAGCACGAAAGCGUGGGUAGCAAACA